AUGUACCAAGCGUCCACCACAGGUCCUGCGCGCCGUCCACGCCCACCUGACGACUCAUCGCUACGUUUGGUCAUCC
rnacentral:sRNA from 2 species